AUGAGCGGAGGGCGGCCAAUUGUGGUUUCAGUGAUGUUGAUGCUUUUCUUUGCCUUUCUGUUGAUUUCUUCUGUAACAACAAAACAGUUAAAGAAAGUAAUAAUUGCAGGAUAUGAUAUUAUUGAUAAUGGAAACUGCUUUUAUUUUGCUGCAAAUUUGUUGUUAGUAAAAGUCAUUAUAAAAUACAUGUUUAUGGUUUAUUGCAGGUUUUUAUGA